UACAGAGGUCUCAAGCGUUGUUCGGAUUCAUUGGGCGUAAAGGGUGCGUAGGUGACGAGGCAAGUCAGAUGUGAAAUCCCGGGGCUCAACCCCGGAACUGCAUUUGAAACUGCCUUGCUCGAGUACUGGAGAGGAGACUGGAAUUUACGGUGUAGCAGUGAAAUGCGUAGAUAUCGUAAGGAAGACCAGUGGCGAAGGCGAGUCUCUGGACAGUUACUGACACUGAGGCACGAAGGCCAGGGGAGCAAACGGG
rnacentral:rRNA from 1 species